rnacentral:rRNA from 1 species
UACGGAGGGGGCUAGCGUUGUUCGGAAUUACUGGGCGUAAAGGGCGCGUAGGCGGAUCAUCAAGUCAGGGGUGAAAGGCCCGGGCUCAACCCGGGAAUUGCCUUUGAAACUGGUGGUCUGGAGGCCGGAAGAGGAUGGCGGAAUUCCCAGUGUAGAGGUGAAAUUCGUAGAUAUUGGGAAGAACACCAGUGGCGAAGGCGGCCAUCUGGUCCGGUACUGACGCUGAGGCGCGAAAGCGUGGGGAGCAAACAGG